AUAUAUGAUGACUUACAUGGAAUCUCGUUCGGCUGAUGACUUGGCUGUUGAGAAUUGGAAAUCUGAUUUUG
rfam:Microcebus murinus cont1.628853, whole genome shotgun sequence.